rnacentral:lncRNA from 1 species
UUGAGACACAGGGAGCAAUCACAGCCAAGAUGAAACUGAAAGCUCUCAGUCCCAUAUUGAGUUAGGCUUGUGUUGUGUUUAACCUUCAGUGACCUUAAGGAGUUACCGUGAAAUUGUUGCAACUGUAAAUUGUUGUAACUUGGUUAUCAUGAGACUACCAAGAAGUCACAGACGAUUUCUUGCUUGGUUUCAUGUCCCUAUUUCUGCUAAUUAGAUCAUGACAGGAUUUCCAGUUAUUCACAGUGGUUUGCUUCACAGCUGUGUGCCAGAAGAGUGCUAUUCACAGUCUAAUAGAUAAUUGUGUCUGUCAGUGAAAACACUAACUUGGUUGUCUGAGUUUUUGUCUUAGUUUUCCAUCUAAGAAAGCUUCGGAAGGAUAAACCGAAUCCUAAAUGGAGUAUCGUACAAUACAAGUCCUGACAAAAACAGGUACCAAGUCACCGUGCUACUUGAUGUCCUGCAUAGAGAAAGAUGUUACAGAGGGAUAUACAUGUACCUCAUGACUGAAGAACAGGAAGGAGAUGGGAAAUAGGGACGUGACUGAUCCACAGGUGCAUUGGAGAGCGGCUGCUGGUGAGUAAUAACAAAGCUUGUUCAAAUAGUUCUCCACCCCUGUCUUGAUAAACUUAUUUUGAUCCUGUGAAAUACU